rnacentral:misc_RNA from 1 species
GAUGAAGAACGUAGCGAAAUGCGAUAAGUAGUGUGAAUUGCAGAAUUCAGUGAAUCAUCGAAUCUUUGAACGCACAUUGCGCCCCUUGGUAUUCCAUGGGGCAUGCCUGAUCGAGCGUCAUUUGUACCUUCAAGCUUUGCUUGGUGUUGGGUGUUUGUCUCGCCUUUGCGUGUAGACUCGCCUUAAAAUAAUUGGCAGCCGGCGUAUUGAUUUCGGAGCGCAGUACAUCUCGCGCUUUGCACUCAUAACGACAGCGUCCAAAAGUACAUUUUACACUCUUGACCUCGGAUCAGGUAGGGAUACCCGCUGAACUUAAGCAUAUCAAUAAGCGGAGA